rnacentral:lncRNA from 1 species
GUUUCCGUUUCCGGUGCUGCAUUGCCUCCGCAAACUAUCACUUGACGCAUGCCACUUGGCCAGAUUCGAGAUUAGGUACGCAAAAGUAGCGAAUUUUUUUUGAAGGUUAGGUACUUAUCUUUCUUGCUUUCACACCCCUUGGACGUUGAUGUGUUGAGAGGUAUCGGCAACAGUUCAUUAUACUGACAUAGAAUCUAAGUGAUUAAAGGUCCAAAAGCAGUAGGUACAUGUACUGACUUGCAUUCCUUGCAAAAUAGCCCUCGGAAAAUCCUGUCAGCUUUUAACUUACGAGUGCCUACUUGACUAGCUGCCAUUUGAAUAUGGAUCUUAGUCGUCGUUUGUCAAUCAUUUCUCAGGGGACCAGCCUAUCUCGCCAAAGUUCUUUUUCAGGAAGGGAACGAGCUCCUAGCUGUAUGCAGGAUGUUCUUGGCCAGAUUCAAAAACUGGAAUUUGAAAAUAAUGAAACUCAACUGGAUAUUGAUGCGAAGAAACUGCUGGUUGUUGAGCAGGAGAAAGAAAUAGAGGAACUUAGAAUUACAAACCUAGCCUUGGAAUCGGAAUAUCUACAGAUGCAACCCGAUUUUGAGACGUUAGCUAUUCGAAAAAAGCAAAGUGAACUACAGUUAGAGGUGUGGGAGAAAUUUAAAUUGGAAAAAGCAGAAAUCCUAGCAGAGAUCAAACGAAAAUUGGAACAAAAGGAAGAGGAAAUAAAGAUGAAUAGAUCACAGUUUAGUGGUGAGUUUUUUUUGUAG